rnacentral:lncRNA from 1 species
GUUGGAUUUUAUUUUUUCAUUUUUAAAAACAUUUCUGAGUGACACAUGUGUGUAUGCACGUUUACAUGUGUGCAGACACACACGUGUGGUGGUGUACAUGCACCUAGGUAUGUAUGCAUGUAGGAACCCGAGGUUGAUGUGGAAAUUGGGCCUUUUCCUUCCACCAUGUGAAACUUGGGACUCAAACUCAGGUCGUCAGUGUUUGCAGCAAGCACCCUUACCCACUGAGCCAGCUCACUUGCCCUUUGCUGCAAGCACCCUUUAUUUUUUCAAAAGGAAUCAGAACUCAGAUGUAUAUAAAAAGCUAAGGAUACUUCACAGACCAAAUUUGAACACAAGUAUUGUGCAGGGCCCAACAAAUUGCUCUAUAGCCAAGGGUAACUUUGAACUCCUGACCCUCCUACUUCUGCCUGCUGGUUGCUGGGCUUACAGGUAGUGUGUGCCACCGUCCCCAAGUUAUGCAGUGGCUCUUGUGCGAGCUACAGAGGUGUCCCACCAACUAUGAAGAGUUGUGUCACUUUCUCAGUUGCCCAGAGGUUCCAGCCCGGUGGGUCACAGGCCACAGACUGGCCUUCUUUGUCUGGUGUCCAGCUGCUUCGGACACUCACUCUGUAGUGCUGUAAAUAUGAUGUUCUUUAGACGUGGUUACUCAUUUCCUCUCCCGGUGCCUUUGAUCUGCCACUGCCAUACAAUCGCCCAACCAGCGCCUGCAAGUGAGAAAAGACGUAUAAAUGCCUGUGACAAGGCAAACAGCCCUGUGCUGGCUUCAGACAAAUGUGAGCAGGGCCUGUAACAGCCUGGAGAGCCUUGGCAACAGGGCAUGUGGCUGCUUGUGAAUUCUGAGACAUCCUGGAAUCUUGCAAAGGCAGCUGCUUGAUACCAUGUUGCUUUAGAUUCCGGCCUGAGACACCUGGUCUAUUGGAAUAAGAGUUAUCUUACUCUAUCUUUAUCUCUCCAACCAUUUUAGUGUAAAACAAAGAGGCUGUCUGGAGCCCUCUCAGGGCCAUAGUCUUGGAAUCACAUGGAAAACAGAGCUCAGAGUGUCCCACUUCUUACAAGGUUUGGCAAAGGGAGAGUUGUUGCUUCAGCUGCUGAGUCGUGAGACUGCAGAAUAUUCCGUUCAUGCAGCCAACACACAUCAGCAUAUUAUUGGUGAAAUCAGACUGCUUGAAAUCCCUAACAUUCGUUAAUGAAUCAUUUUACAAUUUCCUUGUUGCUUCUUUGUUGAAUUUAAUCCCAAAGAUCUUGCUUCUUCAUCUAUGGAAACUUAACACCUUGGACUCAAUAAGCCUUCAGUGUUACCCAAGGCCUCGGAAACCUUGGUCAGGAACUGCCUGGAGCAAAAUGCUAGGGGUUAAGAGAGAAAUGCAACUUCCUGUAGCUGACUAGAUGAUAGAAUAACCAAAGCAAAAAAACAUAUUUCAAUCUCUCUAUGAAAGACGAUAUGGAAAAUAUAGAAACAAGAGACAUUGGCUUCCAGACUUACAGCCCAGAAGAAACAGAAAAUACAACCGGAAGAGAGGUGCUGACUUCAGCCCUCCCAUGAAGAAAUAUGUGCAUUCCAGAGACUUGCAGAUUCUUGUAGUGUUUGAGACAGGAUCGUCUCCCUUGGUAGCCCAAGCUUGCCUCAAUAUAGUAGCCAGUUGCUUUCUUUCUUUUUUUAUUAGUAUUAUAUUUGGGGGUUGGAGAUGGAGGUCAGAGGACAGUUGACAGUUCUCCCUUUCAGCGCUGGGUCCUAGGACUCGAACUCA